UACGUAGGGCGCAAGCGUUGUCCGGAAUUAUUGGGCGUAAAGGGCUCGUAGGCGGCUUGUCACGUCGGGUGUGAAAGCCCGGGGCUUAACCCCGGGUCUGCAUCGAUACGGGCUAGCUAGAGUGUGGUAGGGGAGACUCGGAAUUCCUGGUGUAGCGGUGAAAUGCGCAGAUAUCAGGAGGAACACCAAUUGCGAAGGCAGCUCGCUGGGACGUUACUGACGCUGAGACGCGAAAGCGUGGGGAGCAACAGG
rnacentral:rRNA from 1 species